rnacentral:rRNA from 1 species
GACGAACGCUGGCGGCGUGCUUAACACAUGCAAGUCGAACGGAAAGGCCCUGCUUUUGUGGGGUGCUCGAGUGGCGAACGGGUGAGUAACACGUGAGUCACCUGCCCUUGACUUUGGGAUAACUUCAGGAAACUGGGGCUAAUACCGGAUAGGAGCUCCUGCUGCAUGGUGGGGGUUGGAAAGUUUCGGCGGUUGGGGAUGGACUCGCGGUUUAUCAGCUUGUUGGUGGGGUAGUGGCUUACCAAGGCUUUGACGGGUAGCCGGCCUGAGAGGGUGACCGGCCACAUUGGGACUGAGAUACGGCCCAGACUCCUACGGGAGGCAGCAGUGGGGAAUAUUGCACAAUGGGCGGAAGCCUGAUGCAGCAACGCCGCGUGCGGGAUGACGGCCUUCGGGUUGUAAACCGCUUUCGCCUGUGACGAAGCGUGAGUGACGGUAAUGGGUAAAGAAGCACCGGCUAACUACGUG